rnacentral:sRNA from 1 species
AGCUUUCCCGCUCCAGGGUGGAGCGACCCUCCCCUCCUCCCUCCUGGCCCCUCGACUACACACGGGGUCUCUCCUUCCUUCCUCCUCGGGAGGAGCCCGACUGGGAGACGCCGCGGGGACUACCCAUUUCCAGCCCGCUCACCUUUCCCAUGCAGCAGCCCCUGCUUCACUCACUGAUCACUCCUUCGCGAGACCAUUAGUGACUGAGCACCUAGCGCGUGGUGUGUCAGGAGCUGGAGAUUGAGCCUUGAACGGAGCAGGCCUUGUCCACAGGAAGCUUACAGUCUGGAGAAGACAGAUGAAAGACACGAAGAAGCCAAUUGACUUGCCGAGGCUCCAGGGCAGCGCUGUCCAAUAGAAACAUGAUGAGAGCCACGUGUGUCGUUUCUUAUUUGACUCAGAGGAACUGACUGCUUCCGUUUUCCCAGAAUUCUGUCAAAUAUUUAUCAAGUGUCCACAUGUACCCAAGCGACGCACAUUCCUUACAUAGAGGAAGGUAAGGAAAGGUGGCAGAGAUCCUUCAAUCCAGACUGUGAAGAAAACCCUUGAGUUAAGACAUUAGACAUCUGUGCAA